rfam:Vibrio proteolyticus NBRC 13287 DNA, contig: VPR01S01.
GAAGGCUGAGCUCCGCGCAAAUACACGAUGAAGUGUUGCUCGGAGC